rnacentral:tRNA from 1 species
GGGGUAUAGCUCAGUGGAAGAGCUCAUGCUUAGCAUGCAGAAGGUCCUGUGUUCAAUCCCCAGUACCGCCA